UACAGAGGGGGCAAGCGUUGUUCGGAAUUACUGGGCGUAAAGGGCGCGUAGGCGGCCUGUUAAGUCGAACGUGAAAUCCCCAGGCUCAACCUGGGAACUGCGUCCGAUACUGGCAGGCUUGAAUCCGGGAGAGGGAUGCGGAAUUCCAGGUGUAGCGGUGAAAUGCGUAGAUAUCUGAAGGAACAUCAGUGGCGAAAGCGACUUCCUGGACCAAUACUGACGCUCAUGUGCGAAAGCGUGGGGAGCAAACAGG
rnacentral:rRNA from 1 species